rnacentral:rRNA from 1 species
GGAUGAACGCUAGCUACAGGCUUAACACAUGCAAGUCGAGGGGCAUCAGGAAGAAAGCUUGCUUUCUUUGCUGGCGACCGGCGCACGGGUGAGUAACACGUAUCCAACCUGCCCUUUACUCGGGGAUAGCCUUUCGAAAGAAAGAUUAAUACCCGAUAGCAUAAUGAUUCCGCAUGGUUUCAUUAUUAAAGGAUUCCGGUAAAGGAUGGGGAUGCGUUCCAUUAGGUUGUUGGUGGGGUAACGGCCCACCAAGCCUUCGAUGGAUAGGGGUUCUGAGAGGAAGGUCCCCCACAUUGGAACUGAGACACGGUCCAAACUCCUACGGGAGGCAGCAGUGAGGAAUAUUGGUCAAUGGGCGCUAGCCUGAACCAGCCAAGUAGCGUGAAGGAUGAAGGCUCUAUGGGUCGUAAACUUCUUUUAUAUAAGAAUAAAGUGCAGUAUGUAUACUGUUUUGUAUGUAUUAUAUGAAUAAGGAUCGGCUAACUCCGUGCCAGCAGCCGCGGUAAUACGGAGGAUCCGAGCGUUAUCCGGAUUUAUUGGGUUUAAAGGGAGCGUAGGUGGACUGGUAAGUCAGUUGUGAAAGUUUGCGGCUCAACCGUAAAAUUGCAGUUGAUACUGUCAGUCUUGAGUACAGUAGAGGUGGGCGGAAUUCGUGGUGUAGCGGUGAAAUGCUUAGAUAUCACGAAGAACUCCGAUUGCGAAGGCAGCUCACUGGACUGCAACUGACACUGAUGCUCGAAAGUGUGGGUAUCAAACAGGAUUAGAUACCCUGGUAGUCCACACAGUAAACGAUGAAUACUCGCUGUUUGCGAUAUACAGUAAGCGGCCAAGCGAAAGCAUUAAGUAUUCCACCUGGGGAGUACGCCGGCAACGGUGAAACUCAAAGGAAUUGACGGGGGCCCGCACAAGCGGAGGAACAUGUGGUUUAAUUCGAUGAUACGCGAGGAACCUUACCCGGGCUUAAAUUGCAGUGGAAUGAUGUGGAAACAUGUCAGUGAGCAAUCACCGCUGUGAAGGUGCUGCAUGGUUGUCGUCAGCUCGUGCCGUGAGGUGUCGGCUUAAGUGCCAUAACGAGCGCAACCCUUAUCUUUAGUUACUAACAGGUCAUGCUGAGGACUCUAGAGAGACUGCCGUCGUAAGAUGUGAGGAAGGUGGGGAUGACGUCAAAUCAGCACGGCCCUUACGUCCGGGGCUACACACGUGUUACAAUGGGGGGUACAGAAGGCAGCUAGCGGGUGACCGUAUGCUAAUCCCAAAAGCCUCUCUCAGUUCGGAUCGAAGUCUGCAACCCGACUUCGUGAAGCUGGAUUCGCUAGUAAUCGCGCAUCAGCCACGGCGCGGUGAAUACGUUCCCGGGCCUUGUACACACCGCCCGUCAAGCCAUGGGAGCCGGGGGUACAAAAAGUACGUAACCGCAAGGAUCGUCCUAGGGUAAAAC